AUUGAACGCUGGCGGCAGGCCUAACACAUGCAAGUCGAGCGGAUGAAGGGAGCUUGCUCCUGGAUUCAGCGGCGGACGGGUGAGUAAUGCCUAGGAAUCUGCCUGGUAGUGGGGGAUAACGUCCGGAAACGGGCGCUAAUACCGCAUACGUCCUGAGGGAGAAAGUGGGGGAUCUUCGGACCUCACGCCAUCAGAUGAGCCUAGGUCGGAUUAGCUAGUUGGUGGGGUAAAGGCCUACCAAGGCGACGAUCCGUAACUGGUCUGAGAGGAUGAUCAGUCACACUGGAACUGAGACACGGUCCAGACUCCUACGGGAGGCAGCAGUGGGGAAUAUUGGACAAUGGGCGAAAGCCUGAUCCAGCCAUGCCGCGUGUGUGAAGAAGGUCUUCGGAUUGUAAAGCACUUUAAGUUGGGAGGAAGGGCAGUAAGUUAAUACCUUGCUGUUUUGACGGUACCAACAGAAUAAGCACCGGCUAACUUCGUG
rnacentral:rRNA from 1 species